rnacentral:rRNA from 1 species
AGUGAACGCUGGCGGUAGGCCUAACACAUGCAAGUCGGACGGCAGCACAGGAGAGCUUGCUCUCUGGGUGGCGAGUGGCGGACGGGUGAGGAAUACAUCGGAAUCUACUCUGUCGUGGGGGAUAACGUAGGGAAACUUACGCUAAUACCGCAUACGACCUACGGGUGAAAGCAGGGGAUCUUCGGACCUUGCGCGAUUGAAUGAGCCGAUGUCGGAUUAGCUAGUUGGCGGGGUAAAGGCCCACCAAGGCGACGAUCCGUAGCUGGUCUGAGAGGAUGACCAGCCACACUGGAACUGAGACACGGUCCAGACUCCUACGGGAGGCAGCAGUGGGGAAUAUUGGACAAUGGGCGCAAGCCUGAUCCAGCCAUACCGCGUGGGUGAAGAAGGCCUUCGGGUUGUAAAGCCCUUUUGUUGGGAAAGAAAUCCAGCUGGCUAAUACCCGGUUGGGAUGACGGUACCCAAAGAAUAAGCACCGGCUAACUUCGUGCCAGCAGCCGCCGUAA